AUGGGCGAGAGGAGGAGGCGCGCGACCGCCGUCGCCGGCGGGGACGGCCGGGCGGAGGAGAAGGCCGCGGCGCCGGCGCCGACGGUGUGGUUCGCGCUCAAGAAGUCGCUGCAGUGCCGGUCCCAGUCGUCGGAGGUGCACGUGCCCAAGCCCAAGGCCAGCGCCACCUCCGGCGCCGGCGGUGGACUGUCAUCCAUCGUGACCAAGCGCGCGGCGCGGUCCGGGUGCUCGCGCUCCAUCGCCAACCUGCGGGACGUCAUCCACGGGAGCAAGCGCCACCCGGGGCAGCCGCCCAGCUGCAGCCCGCGGUCCAUCGGCAGCAGCGAGUUCCUCAACCCCAUCGCGCACGAGGUGGUGCUCAGCACCAACUCCCGCUGCGAGCUCAAGAUCACCGGCUUCGGCGGCGGCCUCGGGGCGGCGGGGGGAGGAGGAGGGCCCGCGCACGACGCGGAGGGCGGCGGCGACGGCGGCGGCGUCGUGUCGUCCUUCGUGGGCACGCUCCGCCCCGGCACGCCGGGGCCCGGCUGGAGCCACGGGCUGCAGUACAGCGGGUCGUGCCGGGCGGGCAGCAUGCGGUGCACGCCGCCGAGGUCGCCGAACCCGCUCCUGGACAGGGACGGCGCGGCCGCGACCACGGCCACGGCCCACCGCGCGUCCUGCGAGGUCGACGCCGCCAAGACCGGCGGCGGCAAGGGCUCCGGCGGCCUCAGCUGCCACAGGUGCGCCGAGCAGUUUGGCAAAUGGGAGGCGCUGGAGGCGCACCACCUGUCCAAACACGCAGGUGAGGAUGGCAUCUGCACUGCAUUGCUUCUGUUGGUGGUGGUGGUACUGCUUCAGAUCGACCCGGACACCCGGCCGGUAGAUCUUCAGGUGACGGAGCUGGUGGAGGGGGACUCGUCGCGGAAGAUCGUGGAGAUCAUCUGCCGGACGAGCCUGCUCAAGUCGGAGAGCAGCUGCGUGCGGAUCGAGCGCGUGUUCAAGGUGCACAACACGCAGCGGACGCUGGCCCGCUUCGAGGAGUACCGGGAGGCGGUGAAGCUCAAGGCGAGCAAGCUGGCCAAGAAGCACCCGCGCUGCCUCGCCGACGGCAACGAGCUGCUGCGCUUCCACGGCGCCACGCUCGCCUGCGCCCUCGGCUCCGCCGGCGCCAGCAGCCUCUGCGCCUCCGACAAGUGCGCCGUCUGCCGCAUCAUCCGCCACGGCUUCUCCUCCUCCUCCUCCUCCAACUCCUCCUCCAAGAAGGACGGCAAGGCCGGCGUCGGCGUCUUCACCACGUCCACCAGCGGCCGGGCCUUCGAGUCCGCCGACCAGCAGGACGACCCGGCGGCGCGGAGGGCGCUGCUGGUGUGCAGGGUGAUCGCCGGGCGGGUGCACAAGCCGCUGGAGAACGUGAGGGAGUUCGUGGGGCAGGCCGGGUUCGACUCGCUGGCCGGCAAGGUCGGGCCCUACGCCAACAUCGAGGAGCUCUACCUGCUGAACCCGAGGGCGCUGCUCCCCUGCUUCGUGGUCAUCUGCAAGCCAUGA
rnacentral:rRNA from 1 species